UUUCCGUAGGUGAACCUGCGGAAGGAUCAUUAACACUUUUAAUAGUUGGAUUAUUUCUUUUUCGAAAUAAUCUCAAUUUCAUACCCACAUUUUGGAUGAAUUCGUUUAGAAAAGAACAACUUUGUUUUUCUUUUCUAUUUUUUUUUUCUUUCGAAACCCCAAACCUCUUUAUAUAUAACUUGCAAAGACUGACAUGAAAGGAUUAUUUGUUUAAUCCAUUUUACAUAAAAAGCUAAGAAACAACUCUUAACAACGGAUAUCUUGGCUCUC
rnacentral:misc_RNA from 1 species